GAUGAACGCUGGCGGCGUGCCUAAUACAUGCAAGUCGAGCGAAUGGAUUGAGAGCUUGCUCUUAUGAAGUUAGCGGCGGACGGGUGAGUAACACGUGGGUAACCUGCCCAUAAGACUGGGAUAACUCCGGGAAACCGGGGCUAAUACCGGAUAACAUUUUGAACAGCAUGGUUCGAAAUUGAAAGGCGGCUUCGGCUGUCACUUAUGGCUGGACACGCGUCGCAUUAGCUAGUUGGUGAGGUAACGGCUCACCAAGGCAACGAUGCGUAGCCGACCUGAGAGGGUGAUCGGCCACACUGGGACUGAGACACGGCCCAGACUCCUACGGGAGGCAGCAGUAGGGAAUCUUCCGCAAUGGACGAAAGUCUGACGGAGCAACGCCGCGUGAGUGAUGAAGGCUUUCGGGUCGUAAAACUCUGUUGUUAGGGAAGAACAAGUGCUAGUUGAAUAAGCUGGCACCUUGACGGUACCUAACCAGAAAGCCACGGCUAACUACGUGCCAGCCGCCGCGGUAA
rnacentral:rRNA from 1 species